UACCAGUCCACCGUCAUGCUGCCCUUUAACAUUUCUUAAUCCAAAACUCAACUUGUCAUAUCCGCUUGCGAUCUUUUGCAGCAACUAAUUAUUUUUACUGAAAGAAGGUGACUCUGUCUUGUUUACAACCUUUGUUUUCUUGAUUUUUUUUUACUGAAAUAAAAAAAUGGCUUUGAUGGAAACAUUUUAUCUCUCACAUGGAGCCCCAACCCUUGCUAUUGAUGAAACCGCACCAGCAAGCCAAUUCUUUAAAUCAUCGCAACAAAGUGUGUACAAAGAGAAACCGAGUUCCAUUCUUGUUAUUUCUGUUCACUGGGAGACCGAACCUACCGUUAGUGUUGUUGAUCGAAAUGAUACCAUUCAUGACUUCCCCAAGCCCUUGUACCAGGCUACACCUCUAUGCUGAGAAAUAAUGUUCGUUCACGUGCCUUGGGAUCUGAAUUGGUUGUGGUUACUGUGCUGAGCGUUGCUGCAUCAUGAAGAAAGGAGGUGGAACCAUUGAUCUUGAGCCCUGUCUUACACAUACAUCAGCAGUGGAACCUGCUCUUGCUCCCGUGGCUGUUGAACAGACAAUGAUUACCUGUGCUGCAGCUUCGUUUUUGAUUGAGCAAAUGUUCUACUCAAUUAGUAGAAUGGUGAGGUAGAGUUCUGGGAUUUCCAUUCAUCUAGCAUCAACACAACUUGCUUUCAAAUGUAUUUCACACAAAGGAAAUUAAUGCUUUGUGGCAACAGAGAUUUGUACACGUAGUUACAAUACAGUGCAACCUUUGCAACGAGCCCUGGUAGAUUCUAGAUCUUUUUGAUAACUAUGAUUUCUGCAAUUUUUCAGAUCUCAACUUAGAUCUCAUAAAGAUUUUAUUACAUUUCCACCAGACAAAUUCAGUUAUCUUUGCUGUGCUUUCAGUAAUCGUUUCAUCUUAUUGUUUCGAAGUUGAUAGACUUUUAGGGAAUUAUUCUUAUUUUCUAUAUGGGAUUUUUCUGGUCUAUCAAAACUAAUAGCUACCAAGUUUGUAAAGGCUUUUUAUGUUUUUAUGCUUAGCAACACUUUCCAGAUAUCCUCUAUUUCUACAUCUGUAGUAGCAUUAGUUUACUACACGUGCCCUAACCACCCCAGAUCUAUUAUAGUUGUUCUAACAUUUCAUUCGAUAAACUCUCCACAGUUUCCAACCAAUAGACAUGCUUAUCUGAAGUUUGGAAUGUUUCCAUGACACAGUUUAGUGGAGUUUAGAAUGGUCCCAUGACAUAGUUCAUUAAGUGUUUAUCUUUUUUGUUCAUCUAUGAGGGAACUAAUUUUCAUUGCCUUGCAAGGUGUUUGCACUUUUCCAAUUUUCUUGUCGCUGCUGUUGUCCAUUAACUCUCAUAUUUCUGGACUUAUAUGUCAGUGAAAUGAUUAAUGUUUCAAUUUUGAUGCCUGCGUAAUGUAUCAGGAUAAAAUACAGCAUUAGUAUUGUUGCUGACAGGGUCUGAAAAAGCCUCUCUAUACUUGUACACGUUUGAAGAAGGGGGAAGUUCUAUAUUUAGAAACACAUUCAUGCAGAUACGAGCUCUGUUUUACAGGAGAGAAAAUGGGAAAGUGACACAGGCUUCUCACUCAGGUGCUUGAAGAGACAGAUAAGUUCCACAGUCACCACCCACAUUCCUCAAACGGUGAGAAGCACGACUGUGAUAAUGUUCUUUUUUAUGUAUUCCGGUGGUCUCGCUGUAAGAAACCACAACCACAGAAGGUCAUGCAGUCAGUUG